rnacentral:rRNA from 1 species
GAUGAACGCUGGCGGCGUGCUUAACACAUGCAAGUCGAACGGAAAGGCUCCUGCUUGCAGGGGUACUCGAGUGGCGAACGGGUGAGUAACACGUGGGUGAUCUGCCCUGCACUUCGGGAUAAGCCUGGGAAACUGGGUCUAAUACCGGAUAGGACCACAUUUUGGAUGGUGUGGUGGAAAGUUUUUCGGUGGGGGAGGAGCUCGCGGCCGAUCAGCUUGUUGGUGGGGGAAUGGCCUACCAAGGCGUCGACGGGUAGCCGGCCUGAGAGGGUGUACGGCCACAUUGGGACUGAGAUACGGCCCAGACUCCUACGGGAGGCAGCAGUGGGGAAUAUUGCACAAUGGGCGCAAGCCUGAUGCAGCGACGCCGCGUGGGGGAUGACGGCCUUCGGGUUGUAAACUCCUUUCGCUAGGGACGAAGCGCAAGUGACGGUACCUGGAGAAGAAGCACCGGCUAACUACGUG